UACGUAGGGUGCGAGCGUUAUUCGGAAUUACUGGGCGUAAAGCGUGCGCAGGCGGCUUUGCAAGACAGAUGUGAAAUCCCCGGGCUCAACCUGGGAACUGCAUUUGUGACUGCAAGGCUAGAGUACGGCAGAGGGGGAUGGAAUUCCGCGUGUAGCAGUGAAAUGCGUAGAUAUGCGGAGGAACACCGAUGGCGAAGGCAAUCCCCUGGGCCUGUACUGACGCUCAUGCACGAAAGCGUGGGGAGCAAACAGG
rnacentral:rRNA from 1 species